rnacentral:rRNA from 1 species
AUGAUCUUGCAUGUGCGUAGGAUUGUUUUUGAAAUUACUACGUUCCCCAACAAGCAACCCUUCACCGAGGAGGAAAUCUGGGCCGCCGUCAAGCUACUCCCCACCGGCAAUGCGCCCGGCCCUGACGGGUUCACGUCCGAGUUCCUGCGCACAUGUUGGCCGAUCAUCAAGGCCGACAUCUGCGCCACGUUCGACAAACUCUAUGCCCUUAAUGGUCGCGGCUUCAACAAGCUCAAUGAGGCCCUUCUCAUCCUCCUCCCCAAGAAGCCCGAUGCGUGCACGCUCGCCGACUAUAGGCCGAUCAGCUUGAUUCACCUGCUGGCCAAGCUAUUUGCCAAAGUCCUCUCCCUGAGGCUUGCUCCGAAUAUGGGGAGGCUCGUCUCUGCCAACCAAAGCGCCUUCAUCGCUGGCCGUAGCGUGCAUGAAAACUUCCUCCUGGUCCAGCAAAAUGCGCGCCUGCUCCACAACUUGAAGGCCCCGAGAAUUCUUCUCAAACUCGACAUCGCGAAGGCAUUUGAUACCAUGUCCUGGCCCUUCCUCCUGCAAACUCUGCGACACCUCGGUUUUGGGCGCCGCUGGUGCGAGUGGGUUUGCAUCCUCCCACUACUAGGGAAAACCUUAUACACAGCAUCUUAG